CGACGUGGAUAACCUGCCGUAUACAGGGGGAUAACACUUAGAAAUAGGUGCUAAUACCGCAUAAGCGCACAGCUUUGCAUGAAGCAGUGUGAAAAGCAAAAAGUUAAAACUUUUAGCGGUAUACGAUGGAUCCGCGUCUGAUUAGCCAGUUGGCGGGGUAACGGCCCACCAAAGCGACGAUCAGUAGCCGGCCUGAGAGGGCGGACGGCCACAUUGGGACUGAGACACGGCCCAGACUCCUACGGAAGGCAGCAG
rnacentral:rRNA from 1 species